rnacentral:lncRNA from 1 species
AAAUUCUCUAACACCUUUUAUUCCGUGCAAAAUCUUAUAUUUAUGUCUCUGUAUUUUCCUCUUCCUCACACUGCUAAGAAAGGGAGAGAGGAGUAGAAUUUAGAAUUUAAAUCAGUAACUAGCACAAACCAAACACUAUCCAUUCUCAGGAGACAAGAAGGGCACACGCAGAUUCAGCUACACUUGGCAGCAAAGACUAACACAAGAAAAUAAGACAAGGCAAUGUUCAGUGAAGUUAGAAAUUUCAUGAGAGAGAAUACUUUACCACAAUGACUCAGAUGCCUUCUAAACCUGAAACUUCUUUCAGUUGCUGGGAUCUUUUCAUUUUAAAGCACCCACUGCCAUAUUGCUCUCUUCCUAUUGGAUUUCACAAUGUAAAUUGCAUCUGCUGCCUCAGAGACCCUGCCUCUCCUAACUUAAAACUGAUGAGUAUGUGUGUGCAUGUGUGUCUGUCAAAGACUGAAAAUCAACAUCCCUAUGGAAUUAUAGGUCAAUUUGUGUGAAUUUCUUGACUUUGGAGCCACAGAACAGACAGGUCCCAAUUUGGACUUCUCACUCCAAAUGAUGCUGAUUACUCAGACUGACAUCAAAAUUGGAAGGAAGAAUUAUUGGAUUCAUUAUUUUCAAGUAAAACCGGUACCACCUAUUAAAGCCAAGUAACCAUAUAUUGUAAUUUUGAGCACACAUUAUUGUGUUUCUUUUUAAAAUUUUAUCUUUUUUGUUAGUCAUUUAAUGGUAGCAUAAUUUCAAUUGCUCUGUCUAAAAUCCUACCUCCAUUUAUUGUCUUAUUUUCAGCAUUUCUACAUAUUAUAUUUUUUUCUUUUGAUUUCUCUUCUGAUGAUUGAAGCAAGGAUAAUGCUAUUAUUAGAGUUCAUAGCCAAAUAGGAUCUAAUCUAAUCUGAGGCAAUUGGUCCUUCUGGGCUCUGGGUCUAUCACCAGCUCCUUCAGAGCUCUCUUUUAUCUUGGACAUAAUUCCAAUCCAUAUAAGUGAAACUUUGCCACAACUUGCACCUCAUCAAAGUCAUACAUUGCCAGAUAAACCAUUUUCUUCUUCACCUUUAUUAUAUACCACAUCAGUACUGACAAGUUGGAGCCCAAUUUCUAUGUCCUCCAA